rnacentral:rRNA from 1 species
AUUGAACGCUGGCGGCAGGCUUAACACAUGCAAGUCGAGCGGAGAUGAGGUGCUUGCACCUUAUCUUAGCGGCGGACGGGUGAGUAAUGCUUAGGAAUCUGCCUAUUAGUGGGGGACAACAUUCCGAAAGGAAUGCUAAUACCGCAUACGUCCUACGGGAGAAAGCAGGGGAUCUUCGGACCUUGCGCUAAUAGAUGAGCCUAAGUCGGAUUAGCUAGUUGGUGGGGUAAAGGCCUACCAAGGCGACGAUCUGUAGCGGGUCUGAGAGGAUGAUCCGCCACACUGGGACUUAGACACGGCCCAGACUCCUACGGGAGGCAGCAGUGGGGAAUAUUGGACAAUGGGGGAAACCCUGAUCCAGCCAUGCCGCGUGUGUGAAGAAGGCCUUAUGGUUGUAAAGCACUUUAAGCGAGGAGGAGGCUACUGAGACUAAUACUCUUGGAUAGUGGACGUUACUCGCAGAAUAAGCACCGGCUAACUCUGUGCCAGCCGCCGCAGUAAUAC